CCUGGCUCACGAUGAACGCUAGCUACAGGCUUAACACAUGCAAGUCGAGGGGCAGCAUGGUCUUAGCUUGCUAAGACUGAUGGCGACCGGCGCACGGGUGAGUAACACGUAUCCAACCUGCCGUCUACUCUUGGACAGCCUUCUGAAAGGAAGAUUAAUACAAGAUGGCAUCAUGAGUCCGCAUGUUCACAUGAUUAAAGGUAUUCCGGUAGACGAUGGGGAUGCGUUCCAUUAGAUAGUAGGCGGGGUAACGGCCCACCUAGUCUUCGAUGGAUAGGGGUUCUGAGAGGAAGGUCCCCCACAUUGGAACUGAGACACGGUCCAAACUCCUACGGGAGGCAGCAGUGAGGAAUAUUGGUCAAUGGGCGAGAGCCUGAACCAGCCAAGUAGCGUGAAGGAUGACUGCCCUAUGGGUUGUAAACUUCUUUUAUAAAGGAAUAAAGUCGGGUAUGGAUACCCGUUUGCAUGUACUUUAUGAAUAAGGAUCGGCUAACUCCGUGCCAGCAGCCGCGGUAAUACGGAGGAUCCGAGCGCUAUCCGGAUUUAUUGGGUUUAAAGGGAGCGUAGAUGGAUGUUUAAGUCAGUUGUGAAAGUUUGCGGCUCAACCGUAAAAUUGCAGUUGAUACUGGAUAUCUUGAGUGCAGUUGAGGCAGGCGGAAUUCGUGGUGUAGCGGUGAAAUGCUUAGAUAUCACGAAGAACUCCGAUUGCGAAGGCAGCCUGCUAAGCUGCAACUGACAUUGAGGCUCGAAAGUGUGGGUAUCAAACAGGAUUAGAUACCCUGGUAGUCCACACGGUAAACGAUGAAUACUCGCUGUUUGCGAUAUACUGCAAGCGGCCAAGCGAAAGCGUUAAGUAUUCCACCUGGGGAGUACGCCGGCAACGGUGAAACUCAAAGGAAUUGACGGGGGCCCGCACAAGCGGAGGAACAUGUGGUUUAAUUCGAUGAUACGCGAGGAACCUUACCCGGGCUUAAAUUGCAGAUGAAUUACGGUGAAAGCCGUAAGCCGCAAGGCAUCUGUGAAGGUGCUGCAUGGUUGUCGUCAGCUCGUGCCGUGAGGUGUCGGCUUAAGUGCCAUAACGAGCGCAACCCUUGUUGUCAGUUACUAACAGGUUCCGCUGAGGACUCUGACAAGACUGCCAUCGUAAGAUGUGAGGAAGGUGGGGAUGACGUCAAAUCAGCACGGCCCUUACGUCCGGGGCUACACACGUGUUACAAUGGGGGGUACAGAGGGCCGCUACCACGCGAGUGGAUGCCAAUCCCCAAAACCUCUCUCAGUUCGGACUGGAGUCUGCAACCCGACUCCACGAAGCUGGAUUCGCUAGUAAUCGCGCAUCAGCCACGGCGCGGUGAAUACGUUCCCGGGCCUUGUACACACCGCC
rnacentral:rRNA from 1 species